rnacentral:lncRNA from 1 species
AAAAAAAAAAAAAAAGAAAACCCGAUAACACUCGUUCUCCAACCCCCCUUUCCCCAUUCAUUCAGAUUCACCUAAUCACCUCACAGCUCACUCCAAGGACUCCGUCGUCGCCGAACCCUAGCCCUAGGAACCCCGAACCGUAGCCCUCCAUUGUCGCCGCCGUUCAGAGGUCGUCAGCGCCGCCGCUCAGUGGUCGUCAGCGCCGCCGCCGUCCCCAAGUCCUCAGGAACCAGUAAGUCAGCAGGUCUCUUCGUCUUCGCUGGCUUCUCGAACCCAGGUGAGUGCUCCUGGUCUUCAUCUUCUCUGAGCUUCUUCUUCAAUUUUUGAUCCAUAUUGCUUCAAUUCUUCUUGGGUCUUGGCUUGAAGUUUGGUUCUUCUUCUUCUUCGGUCUUCAGUCUUCGUUCUUCGGACUUCAGUCUUCAUUCUUCGUUCUGCCUCUCUUUUUUCUUGAAUUUCUGUUGAUGUUGCUGCGAGUCUUGGUUCUGUUGAUAGCUGAGAUUUGGUUGCCGUUGUUGCCUUAGUCUAGCUUUAAUCUCUUCCCACUCAAUUUUCCAGCAGCAAUUUCGAAUGUUUCCAAAUUGGCAAAUGGAUUGAGUGCCUUCCAUAACUGAAACCAUCUUAGAGCUUUCCCUUUCAAACCUCUUUCCACCUCUAUGAAUCUCUGCUCCUCAGGUGUCCAUCCAUAACCAUAUUUCCCAUUGAAUAUUGUUGAGUUAUUUGUUUUCCCAUGAAAAAUGGAAGAAACCUCUCAGCGAGAGCACCAAUGUUAGAACUCCUUCUAUGAAUUAGGGAGAGAAACUCCAAAUUGAACCAAGUUCAAUAUCAAUUCAUUAAUUCCUUUAAGCUUUAAUACAUUGAUAAAAGUCUCUUAUCUAUAUUCUUGAAAGACUAAGUAAUUCUAUUGGGCAUAACUAGUACCCUUCCUAAUAUUAAAUAGUAACAUGUAGUGGCCACAUGAAUAUCAGAAGUAUGCAAAAUCAGCAGAGGAUGCUGUUGCUGAUGUUCUCAGAGCAGGUGUUUUAUUUGCCAUUUUCAUUUCAAGUGGAUAAAUGGUUAACUGAAUUCAAUUUUUGUGCUGUUGAAUAAGGCAAGGGAUUAUGAAUAUAAAUGAAUGUGAUAAAAUUGUGAAUAUGAAUAAAUAUGAUUGAUGACAAACUUGGAUGUUGGCAUUUUAUGUUUAGUUGGUUGUUUUUGUUAUUUGACUUGAGUUUGUAUUUGAAUGAGAUCAUAACAUUUUGGUUUUAUUUUGGAUGAUAUUUUAAAGUUUAUAUUAAACUAUAAUUAUGUUUUAAUGUAUUUAUUUAUAUUUUAAUUAUUAUUUUAUUAUAAAAACAGUUUUUUCGGUUCAAUCACGGUCGAACCGGUUGAACCUAUGAACCAGUGAACCAGUAACGAGAACGGUUCGAUGACCGGUUCAGUUUUCAGAACCUUGGGUGACACAGAGAGAAAGAAAUUAAAAUGACAUACCUUGUUAUUUUUUACUUAUUAAAUUUUAGCUAUCACUGUUGUUCAUUGUUGUAGCAGAGUAGCACCAGUUAUUAAUCCUUCCAGAUCUUUCUCAAGGUUUCUCUUCCAAUAAAACAGAAGGCAAAACGAAGGCAGGUGAACCGUCAGAUUGAAAUACCAAGUGGCCAUCGAACGGAGCCCUAUCACCCACCAAUGUCUUCCAAAGUAAUUACCCCACUCGCCACCUGACAGCUAACACUUCCCCUUCCACAGUUCCACUUCUCACUUCCCUCCCCUUAUCUUCCUCUCUUCAAUCUUCAUUUUCCUCUCCAAAAUGGCCACUGUCUUUAGAACCCCCAUUCUCCGGCCAGGUAUCCUGCCGCCGCGCUCCUCCUCUUCUUCCGCCGCCGCCGCCACCAAGCCCUCAUGCGUUGCCUUUCCCUCUUUCAGACAAACUGCUACCCACAGAAGGACCACUUUGCGGUUCCCUUCAAUUCCUUCCCUGCGCUUCACGAAGUUCGCCCCUUUCGCUUUCGAAGGAGACACCGAGGCCUCGCCUCAAGUUCAAGAACCUGAGCUUCAGCUUGAGGUGAGUUUCAAUUUGGAAUUAAAUUUAAGUUCUUUUUUUAUUUCCUUUCAAAUUUUGUGUGGUUGGGUGAAAUUGGAACCUAGUUGAAUUUUGGAUUGCAAAAUUUCUUGGUUUGAUAAGGACUGUACUGGAAUGAGAGACUUUUAUGUUGACUUACUUUGAAGUAGUGUGUAUCAUACUUUGCAUUUUGUGAUGCUAUAUAAAAUUGAGGCGAUAUUCAAUGGUAAAUUGAUAAUAUAUGAUAGUUUUAUUUUAAUUGUUUAUGAUACCUGAGGAAAGCUAUAAUUUUGGACCGUUCCAGAAUACAAAUUUAUUUUGGGCAAACUGUGACUCUGAAAUUAUGAACUUUAGAUUGUGGUUGGAUAGAUUAUUUUGAAAAAGGAAAACAAAAAUAUUCUGGUUUUGUUCUUUUAAGAAGCUUAUCUAAGAAUCACACACAAUGCAUACCUAUCUUUGAUAUUUGCAACUUUGAUUAUCUCGGAUAAAGAAAAUGAUGAGUCAAGAGUUUUUAGGAUUAGUUGAUUUUCCAUCUUCUAGCUCAAUUUUCUGGUGAACUCUUGUAACAGGAUGGUGCUGUUGAUGUAGAGGACAGUGCUGGCCAUAAUGAGCUUAGUGAGGCUGAUGAAAGUGAGGAAUCUUCACCCUUGCAAGAGUUACUGCAAUCUUACAAAGAAGUGGUAGCUAAUAAUAAUGAAGCCAUAGUUGCCGAGCUGGAAUCAUAUUUGAAGUCCAUUGAAGAUGAGAAAAUAGGUCUUGAAAGGAAGAUAGCUUCGUUAUCUGCAGAGUUAUCAAUAGAGAAGGAUAGGAUUCUAAGGAUUAGUGCAGACUUUGACAAUUUCCGGAAGAGAACCGAGAGAGAUCGCCUUUCUCUGGUCACUAAUGCACAGGGGGAAGUUAUGGAGAGCUUGUUGCCUGUAUUGGAUAAUUUUGAGAGAGCAAAAACUCAGAUCAAGGUGGAGACAGAAGGAGAGGAGAAAAUAAACAACAGCUAUCAGAGCAUAUAUAAACAGUUCAUGGAAAUUCUUACUGCACUUGGAGUUGAACCAGUUAAGACAGUUGGAAAACCCUUUGAUCCAUUGGUAAGUUGGUAAUCAGUUUAUUUUAUUUUAUUUUAUUUUUAUUCCCAGGAUGUCAAACAAAUUUGACUUUUCAAUUGAGGAGAAAAUCUUAUUAUCAUGUAGGUGAUAAUGUUUUGUCCAAAAAUAGAAUUCCUCCUGCCCUCUUUUUUUCUUUUUAAAUUUUUAAUAGUAGGAUAGUUUUGAAACAGUUAGUAUUUAUUUAAGUUGUGUUAGUAGUUUAGUAAAAAAUACCCAUACACUUGCCAGUGUAAUUUGUCAAUUUCAUUUGGACACUUUGCUCUUAUCCUGUCUGGUUUGUUGGUUUGAGAUGAAAAUGGAGUCCAAGGUAUUUUAAUAGCUUCCAUUGUUUGAAUUGCUUAAAUUUUAGUAGGAUGGAAUGGUUAGUGAUGGAAUUAUUUCCUCCCGAUUCCAUUACAAUUUCCAAUUUUUGGGUCCUCCCGAUUUGGGUGUCUUGUGAUAGAACCUAUUUUUUUUAUUGAAACAAUUAAGUAAAAAAAAUACUCUAUUUUCCUGUUCCAUUACACAACCUUGUGUUCCAUUCUCCUCUACUGCAUUACUUACCAUUAAUCCAAACAUAUUGAGUUCUGUUUGACUUGUUCAAUAUGAUUUGUCUUCCUUGGAUUAUCACUGAUAUUUUGAAGUCCUUUUCUCCUUAUAUGAAAAUUAUCUCAAUGUUUUAGAAGUAUAUUGUUGGCCCCAUCAUUUCUUCUGCAUUUUGGCAUAAUGAUGUCAUACAUGAUUGAUGCAGGCACAGAAACAGUUGGCUCGAAAUUCAAUCAACUUUUUCAAACACUUAAUCAAGCUUAUUCAGGUUUCAUGAAGACCUGGAUUCGUUUUUAACUCGGCAAUUCUUGAUUAUUUUGAGCCAACUUGGUGAGUCUGAAUCUGUAUGACAAAAUUGCCAAAAAAGGAGAGCAUUGUAGCAAAUUAUGUAUGUGAAUCUCAACACAUAUUUUUAGAGAACUAUUUUUAGCUGGCUGCUGUAAGAUUAUAGAACUUUGAAAUCGCUUGCAUCAGCCACUUCAUUGAAUGAAACGCAAUGCGUUAGUCUCUUUGAAUAUUUCAUGUAGUGAUCUUCAGAGGUAUGAAAGACUGAUUGAUAUUCAUGAUAAUUUUUUCUGAUAAAUUAUAAUUUGCAAUUUACUUGUAAAAGCUACAUGAAGCAAUUAUGCGCGAGGAUUCAACUGAGUUUGAGGAUGGCAUCAUAAUCCAAGAAUUCAGGAAAGGUUUUAAACUUGGUGACCGACUUUUGCGACCAUCAAUGGUGAAUGGUGAAGCUGGUCCGGGACCUGCAAAGCCUGAGCAAGCACAGCAAGAGGAGCAAGUCGCAAGUGAAAAUUCUGAGGCUCUUAAAGAAAACAAUGGUAGCACAGAAACAGAGUCUUCUUGAAAGGUCAAAAGUCACCUUUUUGCCUGGAUUCAGUUUUGUACAAGUAUGUCGGUUAAAUCUAGAGGAACAUAAUGUUGGAUGUUACUCAAAGAAAUGUUUCAGCCAAUUUUUCUUUAUUCAUUCAGAUUCACCUAAUCACCUCACAGCUCACUCCAAGGACUCCAUCGUCGCCGAACCCUAGCCCUAAGAACCCUGAACCGUAGCCCUCCACUGUCGACGCCGUUCAGAGGUCGUCAGCGCCGCCGCCGUCCCCAAGUCCUCAGGAACCAGUAAGUCAGCA